ensembl:lncRNA
GGAUCUUCUCUAACUGCUACUCUUACAUAGCUUUCCAGUCAAGGAUGACUGACAUGUUUCAAAGCCAGGCAUCAGCUGUGUUCAGCUCUGGCUUGAAAAAAAAUAUGCAGACAACAGCACAGACCUCCUGCUACUAACAAGUAAAUAGAUAAAUAAGUCUCAGAAGUAGAACAGCUGUUCACAUAGUCUUCUCCAAAACUACUGAAAAAAAUCUGGACUUCUUCCUCUGACUUCAACAAGCUUCAGAUCAGGCUCACAAAAUGGAGAAUACGUUUCAUGUAAUUCUAAGAAGGUUACAGAGAGCAAAGCAGAAAGAGGAUUAGCUGUGUACAGUCCAAAGGCGUAUUACCUUGCAUGCUUCAGAAACAACUGGCUAGCACACUUUCACAGGAAGGAAUGGCCAGAUUCAUUUCUGGUGCCCUGCCACUAAGUCAGCACCACCAUCCCAGCAGCAAAUUUGAUCUAGAUGCUACCCAUUGGCCUCAUUAUAACAGGGAUUUGCCCAUACUGGACAUGCAUAAACAUGUUUUGUAUAAGUAC